GUAGUUGACUUUAGAAAGUCAAACUAACUAGUGAUGAAGUCGAAUAAGUGGUUUCGGCUAAGAAAAUAAGUAAAGUGGUAUAGUCGUGAUUGUUAAUGACUAAUCUAACCACCUUGUAAAUGAUGAACAAUAGUUGGCGCUUAAACAAGCUAGGUGAAGCUUGGAGUGAAAGCGGGUCAAACGAGUCAAGCAUAGAAGAAAAGCGUAGCUCGGAUGCAAGGACUAAUUAGCAAAUCGGAUAGUUGCGUCAUCAUUGAUGGUGUGAUAAUAAAAGCGAGGCAUAAAUCGGGUCUAUUCGUUGAUCCGAGCCAGGUGUAUGCUGAGAGCCCGGAUGAAGAUCAAGCGUCAAGCUCGAUGAGGAACCGAACACAUGUUUAAUAAAGCUUCCGCAACGUUGUUGUGUCGUUAUUCUAAACGGCGAAUUAAAUCACAUUAUGUAUAUCGCUUAAAUUAUAAAAGUUUUUAACAAGCCCGUAUUUUCAUUAUAAUUGUGAUUGUAAUU